rnacentral:rRNA from 1 species
GGCCUAACACAUGCAAGUCGAGCGGUAACAGGAAAGUGCUUGCACUUUUGCUGACGAGCGGCGGACGGGUGAGUAAUGUCUGGGGAUCUGCCCGAGGGCGGGGGAUAACCACUGGAAACGGUGGCUAAUACCGCAUAAUGUCGCGAGACCAAAGUGGGGGACCUGAAAGGGCCUCACGCCCUUGGAUGAACCCAGAUGGGAUUAGCUAGUAGGUAGGGUAAUGGCCUACCUAGGCGACGAUCCCUAGCUGGUCUGAGAGGAUGACCAGCCACACUGGGACUGAGACACGGCCCAGACUCCUACGGGAGGCAGCAGUGGGGAAUAUUGCACAAUGGGCGCAAGCCUGAUGCAGCCAUGCCGCGUGUAUGAAGAAGGCCUUCGGGUUGUAAAGUACUUUCAGCGGGGAGGAAGGGUAUGGCCUGAAGAGGGCGAUAGCUUGACGUUACCCGCAGAAGAAGCACCGGCUAAC